rnacentral:rRNA from 1 species
GACGUAGGGCGCGAGCGUUGUCCGGAUUUAUUGGGCGUAAAGAGCUCGUAGGCGGCUUGUUGCGUCAGCUGUGAAAACCCGCAGCUCAACUGUGGGCUUGCAGCUGAUACGGGCAGACUUGAGUUCGGUAGGGGAGACUGGAAUUCCUGGUGUAGCGGUGAAAUGCGCAGAUAUCGGGAGGAACACCAGUGGCGAAGGCGACUACCUGGCCUGUUCUUGACGCUGAGGCGCGAAAGCUAGGGGAGCAAACGGG